rnacentral:rRNA from 1 species
AGUGAACGCUGGCGGUAGGCCUAACACAUGCAAGUCGAACGGCAGCACAGUAAGAGCUUGCCCUUACGGGAGCCGAGUGGCGGACGGGUGAGGAAUACAUCGGCAUCUACUUUUUCGUGGGGGAUAACGUAGGGAAACUUACGCUAAUACCGCAUACGACCUACGGGUGAAAGCAGGGGAUCUUCGGACCUUGCGCGAUCGAAUGAGCCGAUGUCGGAUUAGCUAGUUGGCGGGGUAAAGGCCCACCAAGGCGACGAUCCGUAGCUGGUGUGAGAGGAUGAGCAGCCACACGGGAACAGAGACACGGUGCAGCCGCCCAGGGUAGGCAGCGAGGGGGAAUUGUGGAAUAUGGGACCAAGCGUGAUCGAGUCAUGCCGCGUGGGUGAAGAAGGGAUUAGGGUUGUAGAGCCCUUUUGUUGGGAAAGAAAAGAGGCAGGUUAGUACCCCGCUGUGCUGACGGUACCCAAAGAAGAAGCACCGGCUAACUUCGUG